rnacentral:lncRNA from 1 species
CAGAGAUACAAGAAGAGGGAAGAAGGAGAGAGGUUCCCACGCAGGUGAAAAUGAUCACCACCAGGUCCUACCUCAGCUCUACUGGUGACCAGACUGUCUGUGCAUAGCCCAUUGCCCCACAGACAUCGUGCUGGAGAAGUUGCUGGCAGUUCUACAUCUUGAUUCACAGGCAAGGUGGUGGGGGGAGGCAAAGACAGAAAGAGACAUUGGGUCUUUCUUGGGCUUCUGAAACCACAAAACCUAC